UUCCAAGGAACGGAGAAGCUGCCGUGCAGGGCUGGAGUGUGAUGAGCAAGGCAGGAACAGCACAUCAUCCGGUGAGAGAAGCAGACAGCGGCCAGGCCACACAGAGCCCUGCAGGGCACGCUGGCAGAGUUGCUUGAAAUGAAGCCGUUCCCUGAAAAGCACACAUGAAUUUCCCCUGCGGAAAAUUCAAACAGACACACUUGAGGAUUUCCACUAAAUUCUCUCUGGCCCCCAGAGCACUGGGGAAGCAUGUGAGACCUGUGCCAUCCCGGAACUGUGGCGACAAUGGUAGUUAACGUCCAUCAUCUGCAGGCACCUUCAGGAUGUGGAGCAUGCAGAGAUGACUCACGCCCACACCGGUGACCUCCAACACACCAGGGAAGGCAGGAAAAGGCUGUGUGCCAGGAUCUUGUUCUGGGCUAGAAAAGUAUGCCUGUUCGUUACCCGACCUUUGCUAAGUACACCAACUAAUGGAGCGAGAGACAUGAAAGAUCUUCACAGGCCAUGUGGAAAUGUAAUUCAAACCCAGCCCGAGGAGGUCAUAGUGUUCAGCAAGUAAACAUGGAGCCUGCUGAAGCUGGGAAUGCAAAGUGUGCAAGAAGCCUGCCUAUGGGAACCUACGGCUCAGCAGGGAGACAUGAAAUAGCUGGGAACGCCCCCUGCACAGUGUAAAGGGCGUGCUACCUUGGGAAGGGGACAGAAACAGAGGAGAGGGGGGAUCCUGGCCAGCAGGGGUGUCACAGAAGGCUUUUUAAAGGAGGGGGCCUUGGAGCUGAACUUUGAGGCCAGUGGCAUUCGAACACAUCCACGGGUCUCCCUUUCGGAUUUCAGUGCCCUCUUGGCCUUGGGCUGAUGAGCUAAGUUGCUACUGGAGAAUGACCUUUCACAGGAAAUUCAGAACCCCAGUCAUCAAUGUUUGACUACCCUGUCACCAAGUCCCUCCAUUGCCCUGGCUUGAUGUGGCUGCGAGAAGUCACCUGUUCAGGCCCCUCCUGCCUCCUCCACACACUGACCUCCCUCAGACUCAGAACAGCCGAUGCUGCCCUCUGAGGCCUGCCCCUUUGCACAGGCUUUGCCCACAUCUGGGCUCCUGGAUUCCUCAGAAGCCGGCUCCUGGGGCCUGUCCAGCAAGGCUUGGAAGCCCGGGUCCCCAAAGACCUGCUAGUUAAUGAGUUCUGCAAAAACUAGGUCUGUCUGUAAUCGAAAUGGGAGUACAAGGCUCACACGGUCCCUGAAUUAAUUCAGUCCUGUUAGAAAGGGAGCAAGGCAGAGUUUCUGCUGCUGUCUGCAGGACCCAUGGAGGGGUUCUAUGCACCAUUACUUCCAUUUGGGGACCCAUUGUUUUCCAUCACUUCAGCACAAUCUGGAAAACAUUCUCCAAGUCUAUUAUUCCUGUCUCCUGCUGCCACACUGAGGCAGUUGUUAACAAUGCCCUCUGCCCACCCCGGACCCCUCCUCCAUUUAAAUACCAGUCUGAUGGGCAAAGAGAGCAUUUAAUGACUGCUCCAGACUAAAAAGUUCCUAUUAUUUUAUUCCCUUCUUACUCCUGCCCAAUUUCCUUCCAGAUGGGGCAGGUGGGUAUAAAAUAUAUGGAGCUGGAAUUACAAUAGCAAGAAGACAGGUGGGGAAAUUGAAUGUGGUUGGAAAAUUUGUCCGUAUGCCUACAGGUGUGUCUUAUGAGAUCUUGCAGGCUACCACCACCCCCGCUACCCCAGCCUGGCCAUUCUCCAAAUGGUCUGGGAAUGGGGAAUAUGAGUGGCCAAGACUUCCCCUCCUGUUGGAGUGGUCUGAGUAUCCAGGCAGAAGGAAAGGAGAUAUUUAGCAAGGGGGCGCUUAGAAUGGCAGCCUUGAAGAGGUGCAGGCAGUGCUGACUUGACACUACCUUCACCAUCAGGUGUUGGGCCCCCAGUACGAUACCACAGAGUCUUUAUGCCUUCCUUCUGGAUUCUCUUCUUUCCUCUCCUUACUCAGAUGCCACCUCCAUUGGGAAGUCUUCCUUGAUUACCCCAGAGUUAGUUUCUCCGUCCUUUCUGCUCCUCUCUCUGCAUCCCUAUUAAAUGUGUUAUUGGUCUAUGAUGUUCUGCAUUACAACCUGUGUUUGAUGGCUGGUGACUUCCUGUA
rnacentral:lncRNA from 1 species